rnacentral:rRNA from 1 species
AUGAACGCUAGCUACAGGCUUAACACAUGCAAGUCGAGGGGCAGCAUGGUCUUAGCUUGCUAAGGCCGAUGGCGACCGGCGCACGGGUGAGUAACACGUAUCCAACCUGCCGUCUACUCUUGGACAGCCUUCUGAAAGGAAGAUUAAUACAAGAUGGCAUCAUGAGUCCGCAUGUUCACAUGAUUAAAGGUAUUCCGGUAGACGAUGGGGAUGCGUUCCAUUAGAUAGUAGGCGGGGUAACGGCCCACCUAGUCUUCGAUGGAUAGGGGUUCUGAGAGGAAGGUCCCCCACAUUGGAACUGAGACACGGUCCAAACUCCUACGGGAGGCAGCAGUGAGGAAUAUUGGUCAAUGGGCGAGAGCCUGAACCAGCCAAGUAGCGUGAAGGAUGACUGCCCUAUGGGUUGUAAACUUCUUUUAUAAAGGAAUAAAGUCGGGUAUGGAUACCCGUUUGCAUGUACUUUAUGAAUAAGGAUCGGCUAACUCCGGUCCAGCAGCAGCCGUAAUAAGGAGUCUACGAGCGUUAUCCGGAUUUAUUGGGUUUAAAGGGAGCGUAGAUGGAUGUUUAAGUCAGUUGUGAAAGUUUGCGGCUCAACCGUAAAAUUGCAGUUGAUACUGGAUAUCUUGAGUGCAGUUGAGGCAGGCGGAAUUCGUGGUGUAGCGGUGAAAUGCUUAGAUAUCACGAAGAACUCCGAUUGCGAAGGCAGCCUGCUAAGCUGCAACUGACAUUGAGGCUCGAAAGUGUGGGUAUCAAACAGGAUUAGAUACCCUGGUAGUCCACACGGUAAACGAUGAAUACUCGCUGUUUGCGAUAUACUGCAAGCGGCCAAGCGAAAGCGUUAAGUAUUCCACCUGGGGAGUACGCCGGCAACGGUGAAACUCAAAGGAAUUGACGGGGGCCCGCACAAGCGGAGGAACAUGUGGUUUAAUUCGAUGAUACGCGAGGAACCUUACCCGGGCUUAAAUUGCAGAUGAAUUACGGUGAAAGCCGUAAGCCGCAAGGCAUCUGUGAAGGUGCUGCAUGGUUGUCGUCAGCUCGUGCCGUGAGGUGUCGGCUUAAGUGCCAUAACGAGCGCAACCCUUGUUGUCAGUUACUAACAGGUUCCGCUGAGGACUCUGACAAGACUGCCAUCGUAAGAUGUGAGGAAGGUGGGGAUGACGUCAAAUCAGCACGGCCCUUACGUCCGGGGCUACACACGUGUUACAAUGGGGGGUACAGAGGGCCGCUACCACGCGAGUGGAUGCCAAUCCCCAAAACCUCUCUCAGUUCGGACUGGAGUCUGCAACCCGACUCCACGAAGCUGGAUUCGCUAGUAAUCGCGCAUCAGCCACGGCGCGGUGAAUACGUUCCCGGGCCUUGUACACACCGCCCGUCAAGCCAUGGGAGCCGGGGGUACCUGAAGUGCGUAACCGCGAGGAGCGCCCUAGGGUAAAACUGGUGACUGGGGCU